UACAGAGGUCUCAAGCGUUGUUCGGAUUCAUUGGGCGUAAAGGGUGCGUAGGUGGCGCGGUAAGUCGGGUGUGAAAUUUCGGAGCUUAACUCCGAAACUGCAUUCGAUACUGCCGCGCUUGAGGACUGGAGAGGAGACUGGAAUUUACGGUGUAGCAGUGAAAUGCGUAGAGAUCGUAAGGAAGACCAGUGGCGAAGGCGGGUCUCUGGACAGUUCCUGACACUGAGGCACGAAGGCCAGGGGAGCAAACGGG
rnacentral:rRNA from 1 species